rnacentral:rRNA from 1 species
UACGAAGGGGGCUAGCGUUGCUCGGAAUCACUGGGCGUAAAGCGCACGUAGGCGGCUUUCUAAGUCAGGGGUGAAAUCCUGGAGCUCAACUCCAGAACUGCCUUUGAUACUGGAGAGCUUCGAGUUCGGGAGAGGUGAGUGGAACUGCGAGUGUAGAGGUGAAAUUCGUAGAUAUUCGCAAGAACACCAGUGGCGAAGGCGGCUCACUGGCCCGAUACUGACGCUGAGGCACGAAAGCGUGGGGAGCAAACAGG